rnacentral:rRNA from 1 species
AUUGAACGCUGGCGGCAGGCUUAACACAUGCAAGUCGAGCGAGUGGCGGACGGGUGAGUAAUAUAUGGGAACCUGCCUGAUGGCGGGGGAUAACUACUGGAAACGGUAGCUAAUACCGCAUACCAUCAGAUGGGCCCAGAUGGGAUUAGCUAGUUGGUGGGGUAAUGGCUAACCAAGGCAACGAUCCCUAGCUGGUCUGAGAGGAUGACCAGCCACACUGGAACUGAGACACGGCCCAGACUCCUACGUGAGGCAGCAGUGGGGAAUAUUGGACAAUGGGCGAAAGCCUGAUCCAGCCAUGCCGCGUGUAUGAAGAAGGCCUUCGGGUUGUAAAGUACUUUUGGCAGGGAAGCGGUACCCGCAGAAGAAGCACCGGCUAACUCCGUGCCAGCAGCCGCGGUAAUUC